rnacentral:tRNA from 1 species
GGUUGUGGCUCAGUGGUAGAGUGCUUGCCCUGCACGCAUGAGGCACUGGGUUCGAUCCUCAGUACCA